rnacentral:rRNA from 1 species
CUACGGGGGGCUGCAGUGAGGAAUUUUGCGCAAUGGGGGCAACCCUGACGCAGCAACGCCGCGUGAGUGAAGAAGGCCUUUGGGUCGUAAAGCUCUGUCAACUGGGAAGAAGUUACGAUUAUUUAAUAGAUAGUUGUAUUGACGGUACCAGUGGAGGAAGCGCCGGCUAACUCCGUGCCAGCAGCCGCGGUAACACGGGGGGCGCAAGCGUUAUUCGGAAUUAUUGGGCGUAAAGGGCGCGUAGGCGGUUUUGCCGGUCAGAUGUGAAAGCCCGGGGCUCAACCCUGGACGUGCAUUUGAAACAGCAAGACUUGAGUACGGGAGAGGAAAGCGGAAUUCCUGGUGUAGAGGUGAAAUUCGUAGAUAUCAGGAGGAAUACCGAUGGCGAAGGCAGCUUUCUGGACCGAUACUGACGCUGAGGCGCGAAGGCGUGGGGAGCGAACGGGAUUAGAUACCCGGGUAGUC